UACACUCCUGCGGGAGGCAGCAGUGGGGAAUAUUGCACAAUGGGCGCAAGCCUGAUGCAGCCAUGCCGCGUGUAUGAAGAAGGCCUUCGGGUUGUAAAGUACUUUCAGCGGGGAGGAAGGCAAUACGGUUAAUAACCGUGUUGAUUGACGUUACCCGCAGAAGAAGCACCGGCUAACUCCGUGCCAGCAGCCGCGGUAAUACGGAGGGUGCAAGCGUUAAUCGGAAUUACUGGGCGUAAAGCGCACGCAGGCGGUCUGUCAAGUCGGAUGUGAAAUCCCCGGGCUCAACCUGGGAACUGCAUUCGAAACUGGCAGGCUUGAGUCUUGUAGAGGGGGGUAGAAUUCCAGGUGUAGCGGUGAAAUGCGUAGAGAUCUGGAGGAAUACCGGUGGCGAAGGCGGCCCCCUGGACAAAGACUGACGCUCAGGUGCGAAAGCGUGGGGAGCAAACAGGAUUAGAAACCCGUGUAGUCCCA
rnacentral:rRNA from 1 species